CGCAUAAAUUUUGCAUUUUGGGAUGUAAGCUUCUAGAAUGUUAGUUAUUGUGGGACUUUGCCUUACUUAAAGACAACAUUUGUUGAGAUUUAUUCCUGAUGGAGACCAUCGUGAGUACCAAGCUCCAGACGGGUGUAAAAAUGGGACCAUAGACUGGAACUACCCAAAAGAGUACAUUAUAGUGAAGUUUAAGAGAGAAAGUCAUGACAAGUUUUCUGUCUGCAUUGGCGAAAAUAUAGGUGGUGACAUGUUCGCUCUUUAUGACGUCACCGGACAAGGACGACAUGCAAUUCCAGCAGGCACCUGGCCCUGUAUCGAUUCUCAACAUGGGAGUAUUUCAAUAGAAAUUCAUGCUCCAGAAAUGCAGACAUAUAUGGGAGCAGUUGAUUA